rnacentral:rRNA from 1 species
AUGGACUUCAAGUUAGGGUUAAAACCAAAGAAAAAGUCUGUAAGGGUUAGAGUCAGGGCAGAGCCUGAUGUUUCCUCCUCAGAUGAGGAAGAAGCAACUGUAACCCAGGAACAGAAUCAGCAGACAGAAGGUUUAAUUCAAGAGCCACUAUGUGUGUAUCAGCAUGAGAUAAUUACUAUUUUAACACAGGAGAGAGAAGCAAGCCAGAGGGAAGCAAGCCAGAGGGAAGCAGUUCGUCAAGGUCCAUUACCAAAUUCCGUUUUCAUAGAGGAGCACAUCAUGUCUCAGCCACCGGUUGUCCCUACUACUGCAACGAAGGAGGGCAACGUUCACAGGAAAAGAGAGAUUCUAGCACUGGCAAAGUUAAGAGCUGCAGCUGAGAAAAGAGAAGUUGCAGACCAAGCAAAAUUUGAAGCAGCUAUGGAAAAGUUGAAAGAAGAAGAGGACAAAAUAAAGCUUGCGGCUCAAAAGAGAAAGGAAGAGUUGGAAGCUAAGAAACAAGCAGCUGAGGAAAAGAAAAAAGCUAUACUAGAGGAGAAGAGACUUGCUGCAGAAGAAAAGAGAAGAGCUAUUGAGGAAAAAAAGAGAAAGGCCCAAGAGGAGAAACUUCAAAUGGCAGAGAAUAAAAGGCAAAUGAUGGAUGAGAGAAAAAGAAAUGCCGAGUUAGCAAAGGAAAAAAAGGCCGAAGAGAAGAGAAGGAUUGCACAGGAGAAAAAAAUGCUUGCAAAUACAUCACACCAGCAGGAGGAGGCAGCUUUUCUAAUACAUCAAGCAGAGGAGUUUGAGAGGCAGGAGGGUUGGAGAAUUUUUAAAGAGACUGAGGAAGUUGCUAGGCAAAAAGCUUGGGAGCAGCAGAAUAAUCAGCAAGGCACAUCAAGGAAUGAAGAAUGGGAGCUGCAAAAGAGGAGAGCUGAAGAAACAAACAAGAAAGCCAUGGAGGACCAAAUGGUCGAUCAAGCAAUGAAGCAUGUCAUGCUGGAGGAACAAUUGCAAGAACGAGCUGCAGCAACUAGUUCAAGAGUUGAGGAGGCAAGGUUUAAUCCAUGCCCAGUUGAAGGAAACAAGACAAAGAAAAAAUCUGCACCUACCAAUCAGAACAUGACAUGUUUUAAGAAACCUAGAAAGGUUAACAUGUUCGAUGAAUUUAGGUGA